rnacentral:rRNA from 1 species
GAUGAACGCUAGCGGCAGGCCUAACACAUGCAAGUCAAGGGGUAGAACACUUCGGUGUUUGAGACCGGCGCACGGGUGCGUAACGCGUAUGCAAUCUACCUUGUACAGGGGAAUAGCCCAGAGAAAUUUGGAUUAAUGCCCCAUAGUAUAUAACCUUCGCAUGUUGGUUAUAUUAAAGUUCCAACGGUACAAGAUGAGCAUGCGUCCCAUUAGUUAGUUGGUAAGGUAACGGCUUACCAAGACGAUGAUGGGUAGGGGUCCUGAGAGGGAGAUCCCCCACACUGGUACUGAGGCACGGACCAGACUCCUACGGGAGGCAGCAGUGAGGAAUAUUGGUCAAUGGGCGCAAGCCUGAACCAGCCAUGCCGCGUGCAGGAAGACGGUCCUAUGGAUUGUAAACUGCUUUUAUACAGGAAGAAACAACUCUACGUGUAGAGUCUUGACGGUACUGUAGGAAUAAGGAUCGGCUAACUCCGUGCCAGCAGCCGCCGUAAAAC